AGGCCCUUAGCUCAGUUGGUAGAGCAGCUGACUCUUAAUCAGCGGGUCGGGGGUUCGAGUCCCCCAGGGCCUACCA
rnacentral:tRNA from 1 species